CAUAAAUGAAGAGCUGCACGAGAGGCUUGACUUAUACUCAGAUCUUCCAUUAGGCCUCCUGUCCAAACAGGGCCACGAGUACACUAAAGAGCAGAGGGAGUUUGCCCUCACUCUCCACCUGCACGGGCCCAAAGCCUACUCUUACCUGAGAGAGUCUCUCCACCUCCACCUACCACAUCCACAUACAUUGCAAAGGUGGAUGAUCUCUGUGGAUUCCAAGCCUGGACUCAACACCAUGAUGCUGGACAUGUUGAGAAGAAAAAGAGAGGAAGAUCCAGUGAAGUAUGGACGUGUGGCGCUCAUGCUGGAUGGCAUGGCCAUCAGGAAACAUGUCCAGUACAGUCCACAUUCCCAGAAAAUGACCGGAUUUGUGGACAUGGGG
ensembl:lncRNA